GGUAGAGUUCUUCGGAACUUGAGACCGGCGCACGGGUGCGUAACGCGUAUGCAAUCUACCUUUUACAGAGGGAUAGCCCAGAGAAAUUUGGAUUAAUACCUCAUAGCAUAGCAGUCUCGCAUGAGAUCACUAUUAAAGUCACAACGGUAAAAGAUGAGCAUGCGUCCCAUUAGCUAGUUGGUAAGGUAACGGCUUACCAAGGCUACGAUGGGUAGGGGUCCUGAGAGGGAGAUCCCCCACACUGGUACUGAGACACGGACCAGACUCCUACGGGAGGCAGCAGUGAGGAAUAUUGGACAAUGGGCGCAAGCCUGAUCCAGCCAUGCCGCGUGCAGGAUGACGGUCCUAUGGAUUGUAAACUGCUUUUAUACGAGAAGAAACACUGCUUCGUGAAGCAGCUUGACGGUAUCGUAAGAAUAAGGAUCGGCUAACUCCGUGCCAGCAGCCGCGGUAAUACGGAGGAUCCAAGCGUUAUCCGGAAUCAUUGGGUUUAAAGGGUCCGUAGGGCGGUUUAAUAAGUCAGUGGUGAAAGCCCAUCGCUCAACGGUGGAACGGCCAUUGAUACUGUUAAACUUGAAUUAUUAGGAAGUAACUAGAAUAUGUAGUGUAGCGGUGAAAUGCUUAGAGAUUACAUGGAAUACCAAUUGCGAAGGCAGGUUACUACUAAUGGAUUGACGCUGAUGGACGAAAGCGUGGGUAGCGAACAGGAUUAGAAACCCUGGUAGUCCACGCCGUAAACGAUGGAUACUAGCUGUUGGAAGCAAUUUCAGUGGCUAAGCGAAAGUGAUAAGUAUCCCACCUGGGGAGUACGUUCGCAAGAAUGAAACUCAAAGGAAUUGACGGGGGCCCGCACAAGCGGUGGAGCAUGUGGUUUAAUUCGAUGAUACGCGAGGAACCUUACCAAGGCUUAAAUGUAGAUUGACCGGUUUGGAAACAGAUCUUUCGCAAGACAAUUUACAAGGUGCUGCAUGGUUGUCGUCAGCUCGUGCCGUGAGGUGUCAGGUUAAGUCCUAUAACGAGCGCAACCCCUGUUGUUAGUUGCCAGCGAGUCAUGUCGGGAACUCUAACAAGACUGCCAGUGCAAACUGUGAGGAAGGUGGGGAUGACGUCAAAUCAUCACGGCCCUUACGCCUUGGGC
rnacentral:rRNA from 1 species